AUCAAAGUGUAUGAACAAACAUGGCAUCAAUUUUACCCUAUCACUUCAAGUCUGAAUAUGAAGGGGAAGCCUCUGGAGAUGCGAAUGAUCAACAAACUCAAUCGCAAACACCACGACUGGAGCAGGAUUUCUCAAUGGCGCACGUGCGGAAACUGCAUUAAAAUGCCAAGCGAGAGAGAAAAUGUUUGCUGCAAAGAAAUACGACAGGUUGUAAAAAAAAAAUGAACGAAGUUCCAGUCCCACCAACAUGCAUGCUGCAUCAUCCAGGCUUUGAUCCGAAUUGUCUGAAUAUGCAUGUACUGCAGAACAUCUAUAACAUAUACAGAUGUGACUAUGGCCGUCUAAGGCGAAGAACCACAGAGGAAAAGUUCCACCAUGUGGCAUACCGCAGCUUUGUUAGCUGUUGCUGGGGCUACUUGGGUCGGAGUGUCCGGGUUGUCCUUCUGAGCUGUGUUGUGAACCUGAUACACCAGGAGUUUCCAGAUCCGACUGGAGAGUACACCGGCUUUCGACCUCCGCUUGACUGAAUCUUGAAACAUGGCUGGCAAUUGCUUCCACCUUUGAUGGUCUGACAAACUCUGCACAAAGUGGCUUUGGAAUGGGGACUGAUUUCAGUUCUUCCACAAAUGUAGAGGGGUCCAUGACCACUUCUUCAAAUACGAGCUUCAGUAGCUCAUCAACAUAAGCUGUAAUAAAAACAUUACAUUUUUUAUUACUUAUUUCAAAUUUAAAAUAUCUUUAUUUUUUAGUUGGUGUUUGUAAUUUAAAUGUUACAUUACUUAUUACACAUUUAUAAUAUUUGACAAAUUUUUUACAUUUUUUUUUAGUAAAAUGUUUUGUUACUUACUAUAUGUUGACUUUUUUUUUAAUGGCCGUGCUACACAUUGCCCUUUUUUGAUUUCGGGAACACCAAUCGGUACACCGCCUGUCCUGCCUUGGUUGUGGCUUGUUCUCUGUUGGCGUUUUCAUUAUGAAUCGCAGCAAGAUACAGUCUGCAAUAACAGAAGACACAGUAAAGGACAGCUUCUCUACAAUACGUUUGAAAUUUUUUUGUUAAUAGUCAUAUUGACUCUUCCUCCUCCUCUCCCCUCUCUUCUUCCAACAGCAGAGGUAUUUUUGGUGGUCUGAAACCAGACUUUACUGGUGUUGAUGCAAACGGUUUAUCAGGGUUCCUUAAAUCUUGCCCUGGAGGUCCAAUGCACUGCAUAGUUUAGCUCCAACCCUGAUAAAAGUCAGCUACCUCUGAUUUUCUAAUGAUAAUGAAGACAUUGAUUGGCAUGGGUUAGAAUGCUCAGGUGCGUAUGAUUAGGGUUAGAGCUAAACUGUACAGGAAAGUGGAUCUCGAGGUCCAGAUUUGAGGAUCCCUGCGGUAUAUCACAGGUGGUUGAUGUGCCAACAGUCACACAAGCAACUGUAGCCUGUGAACCUUAAAAAUAACAUACAAUUACGUUAAAAUUUUUAUAUUAAAAAAUGACAUUUAAAAAGUGAUAUUAAAAUCUUUAAAAAUAAAUAAAUAAAUAAAACAUUUAUUAAAGGUA